rnacentral:lncRNA from 1 species
CUUAACUUAAAUACACUAAAUAUAUACAAAAGUUUAUAAUGCGUAACUACUAACCCUGAAUAAAUUCAAUAUUUGAAGGUCCCUUCAUAAAAUCUAUAAGGCAUAAUAGUUUUCCAAGACCAAAAAGUAAAUACGAAUAGAAUUUUAGCAGAUUGAAGGACAUACCUAUGUAAAAAAACUGUGAUCACAGGCAAGAAGUUAAGUACAGAACAGACUUCAUUUGGACCUCCUAAAAAGUUUAUAAAACCUAACUGGUUAAGAUGUAACCAAAAAAAAAAGGUCCAUCAUGUUAGCCAAUUAAAUUUGACCACAGUUGCAAGAAGUAAUUCUGUUCUAGUAUAAGACACACCCUUUUUUUGGCAAUAAAUUUGUACCUUUUUUGUUUCUCAUAUAAAAUUAGCACUAUGAAACUAUAAAAAGAGGUUUUAAUAAGGUUAUACAAUGUGUAUGUACAAUUUAAACAAACAAAAGUGUGAUACAUUUUUUGAGAAAAAGAGAAAAGAAAUCAAUAUAAGUUUGUGAAUCCUUUUACUUCCAAUCUGUUCUCAAAUGAUAUUUUGCUAUUAAUGCCCAUAUGAAAUUUCAUUUUUAGAGAAUUUUUACUUUUGAAACAUACUGGAUGACAUAAUACAUACGUUAAUUGCCAAAUGUGCAAGACCUUUAUGGUUGCGGUCAAGGUCAUUAAAACAUCCAUGUAGAUGCAAAUUCAUUGAUAGGAAUUUUGAUCAUUAUUCAGAAACUAAAUGGUCUAAUCAAGAUAUCUAAUCACAUUAAUUUUAUCACCUUUUAAAAGUGCUAUCAUCAUAAAUUAAAGCUAUAGAAUUUCAAAGCUCUGAUUAUAAAAUUUGUAACCAUGGCUGCCUUUAUAUGAAUUUGACUUCUUAAAGAAUAUUAUAUGCAUUAUUGGUCAUUUCUUAGUCUGUACCAGAAAGGCGUCAAAGCAAAAAAAAUUAAAUAGCCUUUCCAGAUGUCAUAAUUAUUUGAACUAGUAAUUUCUAUAAAGUUUUCUUCAAGUACAUAAUGCUGUUAAACUACUUCUUUGGCUAAUAAAUUUAUUAUAUAAAAUUUAAUCAUUUAUAACUAUUAACCAGAUGCUCCCCAGGGCGCAGCUUUAUACGACCGCAGAGGUCAAACCCUGAACAGUUUGGGUAAGUAUGGACACAACAUUCAAGCUUGAUACAGCUCUGAAUUUGGAUUGUGAUUAAAUAGUUGACACAGCAUAUGUUUCUGACACAGAAUGAAUGUGGUCUAAUGAACUAAAAAAAAAUUAUUGCGUUUGAGCAAUAGACUAUGCUGUUGAAUAUUAAUUACCUCAAAAAGAGUUUGCAACAAUAACUACUUGUUUUAAUACAUCAUAAAAUAUCAAAAUAUAAAAUGACAUACAGUCAUGGUUAAAAUUAAUAUUAAUUAAUAGUUACAUCUAACAUGUCUAAAUAUCAAUUUACAGCUAAUCAUCUCAAGACAAUCAUCGUUUUUUUUCAAGCAGUGUAAGGGAGGUAAGCAAACAUAUAUAUAACAGUAUUCUUUAAAUGGAAUUGCCUUACCUCCCUUACACUGCUUUAAAGUUGACUAAAUUGUUCUUUAACCAGAAAAACCCUUGUUUUACCCCUUUUUGCCCCUAAUUGCUGAAUGAUUUUAGCCAUACACAUCCCUUUAGAGUAAGGAAAAUUGUGGUAUAAUUUCAGAGAGAUUUAUACACUUAAACACAAGUUAUUGACUGGAAACUACAAAAAAAUGCUUAUUUGGGCCCCUUUUUUGGCCCCAAAUUCCUAAACCUUUUGAACCAUAACCCGCAAAAGCAAUCCAAACCUUCUACCUGUGGUAUUAAAUAUUGUGGUACAAUUUCAAAGCAAUUGAAAUACUAAAACACAAGUUGAUAUACUGAAACUAGAGGCUCUUAAGAGCCUGUGUCGCUCACCUUGGUCUAUGUGCAUAUUAAACAAAGAACAAAGAUGGAUUCAUGACAAAAUUGUGUUUUGGUGAUGGUGAUGUGUUUGUAGAUCUUACUUAACUGAACAUUCUUGCUACUAAUAAUUUUCUCUAUCCAUAAUAAACUUGGCCCUUUAGUUACAGACGAAAAUAUUUUGAAAAAAUUUACAAAAAUUUACCAAACUUAAAAUUGGUAAAAUAUUGACUAUUAAGGGCAAUUACUCCUUAAAGGGUCAACUGACCAUUUUAGUCAUGUUGACUUAUUUGUAGAUCUUACUUUGCUAAACAUUAUUGCUGUUUACAGUUUAUCUCUAUCUAUAAUAAUAUUCAGCAUAAUAACCAAAAACAGCAAAAUUUCCUUAAUAUUACUAAUUCAGGGGCAGCAACCCAACAACUGGUUGUCCGAUUCAUCUGAAAAUUUCAGGGCAGAGAGAUCUUCACCUGAUAAACAAUUUUACCCGAUGUCAGAUUUGCUCUAAAUGCUUUGGUUUCAGAGAUAUAAGCCAAAAUCUACAUUUUACCCUUAUGUUCUAUUUUAAGCUAUUGCGGCCAUCUUGGUGGGUUGGCCGGGUCAUCGGACACAUUUUAUAAACUAAAUACCCCAAUGAUGAUUGUGUCCAAGUUUGGUUAAAUUUGGCCCAAUAGUUUCAGAGGAGAAGAUUUCUGUAGAAGUUUAAGGACGACGGACGCCAAGUGAUGAAAAAAAGCUCACCUGGCCCAAAGGGCAAGGUGAGCUAAAAAGUAGAAAAAUAUGGUUGGGACCAUAUCCCCAAAAUCAAUCCCAACCUUCCUUUUGUGGCAUUGAACCUUCUUAUUAAAUUUCAUAGAGAUCAAUUCAACUAGUUAUUGUCCGAACGCCAAAUGUGUCUUCCGACGACGACGACGACGACAUUGCCGUCACAUCAUACCAUUAUAUGAACGCAAAAAAAUUUUGCGGUUGUACAAAAAAUUUCAAAGAUUUUUAAAUGAAGAAAUACAAGAUUUUGGCCACAAAUAGAAUCUGAGGCAUUCUUUUAACAAGACAGUCAGGAAUGAACACAUCAAACUAAAGGCUCCAAGGAGCUUUUUCAAGAGCAGAAAUAUUGUAUCCCAUUCAAUGCAGUGGAAGAAUCUAUACUCAUAGUACAGCAACAACAUAUUUCAUACAGAUUAGUACCAGAAUCAAGAAUGUAAUAAUGCAUUGUAUUGAACUAGUGCAAAUAAACCUUCAAAUUAGUACAGUCAACAGUGACACAAAUAUGACUACUCAGUUUUUCUAUCUUUACUUUACAAUAAAAAGAAUAUUGCAUGAAUAUUGGUGAAUAUAUAUCCUUCUUACAAUUUAUUAUUUUCUUGCAAGCUUGAGCACUAAUCAUUUUCUAUGACUGCAUGUACUCUUCAUGACAACAUUUAAAUUUUUUUAUUAAAAAAAAGAAAAAAAGGCUGGAUUGAACUCCUCAUUUCAUGGUUGUAGCAUAGAAAUGUUAUCAUAAGAAUUAAAGCUUCUUUAGGCCACACCAAUUUAAUUUCUUGUUCUACGGAUUUUUGGACUCCAAAAUUUGGGGCGAUCGAGCAAUUUGAAAAUUUUAAUAAAAAAAUAUUUAAUUUGCAAAUUUUUGAGGCGAAGCUUGAAAAGUAAAGGGGAGGGAUUAUAAUUUUAUUUUGUAA